AAGUAAAAGUCGUAACAAGGUUUCCGUAGGUGAACCUGCGGAAGGAUCAUUGUCGAAACCUUCAAAGUAGACCCGCGAACAUGUUUUUAACUUAUUGGGGACUGUGGCUUGCUGGACAAGAUGCUUGCGUCGACCGCAAGUCAUUGUCCCUCGCCCGCGAGACGCUUGCGUCAACCGGGAUAACGAACCCCGGCGCAAAACGCGCCAAGGAAAACUAAAUGAAGUGUCACUCCCACCCGAAUGUCCGUUCGCGGAGCCAUUUGGUUGGUUGGGGCAUCUCUCUAUGUCAAAACGACUCUCGGCAACGGAUAUCUCGGCUCUCGCAUCGAUGAAGAACGUAGCAAAAUGCGAUACUUGGUGUGAAUUGCAGAAUCCCGUGAAUCAUCGAGUCUUUGAACGCAAGUUGCGCCCGAAGCCUUUAGGCCGAGGGCACGCCUGCGUGGGCGUCACGCAUCGCGUCGCCCCCCUCACAAUCCCUUGGGAUGUGGAUGGGGGCGGAGAUUGGCAUCCCGUGUGUCUUUCCAUGCGGCUUGUCCAAAUGAGAUGUUGCAUCUACGGAUGUCACAACUAUUGUUGGUUGAACACUCAGCUCUCGAUGUUGUGCUGGAACCCGUUGGUUGCUCUUGCAUCUUUUGACCCAAUGGCGCAAAUUGUGCCUACGACCGCGACCCCACGUCAGGCGGGACUACCCGCUGAGUUUAA
rnacentral:rRNA from 1 species